GAAAUGCGAUAAGUAAUGUGAAUUGCAGAAUUCAGUGAAUCAUCGAAUCUUUGAACGCACCUUGCGCUCCUUGGUAUUCCUUGGAGCAUGCCUGUUUGAGUAUCAUGAAAUCUUCAAAGUAAAUCUUUUGUUCACUCAAUUGGUUUCUACUUUGGUAUUGGAGGUCUUUGCAGCUUCACACCUGCUCCUCUUUGUUCAUUAGCUGGAUCUCAGUGUUAUGCUUGGUUCCACUCGGCGUGAUAAGUUAUCUAUCGCUGAGGACACUGUAAAAGGUGGCCAAGGUAAAUGCAGAUGAACCGCUUCUAAUAGUCCAUUGACUUGGACAAUACUUUUAUGAUCUGAUCUCAAAUCAGGUAGGACUACCCGCUGAACUUAAGC
rnacentral:misc_RNA from 1 species